ACGGAAGGCAGCAGUGGGGAAUAUUGCACAAUGGGCGAAAGCCUGAUGCAGCGACGCCGCGUGAGUGAAGAAGUAUCUCGGUAUGUAAAGCUCUAUCAGCAGGGAAGAAAAUGACGGUACCUGACUAAGAAGCCCCGGCUAACUACGUGCCAGCAGCCGCGGUAAUACGUAGGGGGCAAGCGUUAUCUGGAUUUACUGGGUGUAAAGGGAGCGUAGACGGUUUGGCAAGUCUGAAGUGAAAUGCGGGGGCUCAACUCCUGAACUGCUUUGGAAACUGUCGAACUAGAGUGCAGGAGAGGUAAGUGGAAUUCCUAGUGUAGCGGUGAAAUGCGUAGAUAUUAGGAGGAACACCAGUGGCGAAGGCGGCUUACUGGACUGUAACUGACGUUGAGGCUCGAAAGCGUGGGGAGCAAACAGGAUUAGAUACCCUGGUA
rnacentral:rRNA from 1 species